CCUACGGGUGACAGCAGUGAGGAAUAUUGGUCAAUGGGCGGAAGCCUGAACCAGCCAAGUAGCGUGCGGGAUGAAGGCCCUACGGGUCGUAAACUGCUUUUGCACGGGGAUAACACCCUCCACUUGUGGAGGUCUGCAGGUACCGUGCGAAUAAGGGCCGGCUAAUUCCGUGCCAGCAGCCGCGGUAAUACGGAGGGUCCGAGCGUUAUCCGGAUUUAUUGGGCUAAAAGGGAGCGUAGGCGGGCGUUUAAGUCAGCUGUAAAAUCGCGCGGCUCAACCGCGCUGCGCAGUUGAAACUGGACGCCUUGAGUUCACAACAGGCAGGCGGAAUUCGUGGUGUAGCGGUGAAAUGCAUAGAUAUCACGAAGAACCCCGAUUGCGAAGGCAGCCUGCCGGGGUGCGACUGACGCUGAGGCUCGAAGGUGUGGGUAUCAAACAGGAUUAGAUACCCUGGUAGUC
rnacentral:rRNA from 1 species